ACGUACACUCCUGCGGGAGGCAGCAGUGGGGAAUUUUACGCAAUGGGGGAAACCCUGACGUAGCGACACCGCGUGAGCGAAGAAGCCCUUUGGGGUGUAAAGCUCUGUCAGCUGGAACGAAAACAAUGACGGUACCAGCAGAGGAAGCAUCGGCUAACUACGUGCCAGCAGCCGCGGUAAGACGUAGGAUGCGAGCGUUGUCCGGAUUUAUUGGGCGUAAAGAGUUCGUAGGUGGUUUGUUAAGUUUGGUGUUAAAGAUCGGGGCUCAACCCUGGGACUGCACUGAAUACUGGCAGACUCGAGUGUGGUAGAGGCUAGUGGAAUUCCCAGUGUAGCGGUAAAAUGCGUAGAUAUUGGGAAGAACACCGGUGGCGUAGGCGACUAGCUGGGCCAUAACUGACGCUGAGGAACGAAAGCCAGGGGAGCGAAUGGGAUUAGAAACCCGGGUAGUCCCAUG
rnacentral:rRNA from 1 species